rnacentral:rRNA from 1 species
GACGAACGCUGGCGGCGUGCCUAAUACAUGCAAGUCGAACGCAUUUGCGAACAGGUGAGUAACGCGUAGGUAACUGCCCCCUAGCGGGGGGUAACUAAUUUAAACGAUAGCUAAUACCCCACACUGUGAGAUGUAACUGCGUUGGAUUAUCUAGUUUGUGAGGUAAAGGCCCACCAAGGCGACGAUACAUAGCCGGUCUGAGAGGGUGAUCGGCCACACUGGGACUGAGACACGGCCCAGACUCCUACGGGAGGCAGCAGUAGGGAAUCUUCGGAAAUGGACGGAAGUCUGACCGAGCAACGCCGCGUGAGUGAAGAAGGUUUUCGGGUCGUAAAGCUCUGUUGAUCGGGAAGCGGUAACUGAACAGAAAGGGACGGCUAACUACGUGCCAGCAGCCGCGGUAAUUC